GACGAACGCUGGCGGCGUGCCUAAUACAUGCAAGUCGAGCGAAGUUUUUCUGGUGCUUGCACUAGAAAAACUUAGCGGCGAACGGGUGAGUAACACGUAAAGAACCUGCCUCAUAGACUGGGACAACUAUUGGAAACGAUAGCUAAUACCGGAUAACAGCAUUAACUGCAUGGUUGAUGUUUAAAAGUUGGUUUUGCUAACACUAUGAGAUGGCUUUGCGGUGCAUUAGCUAGUUGGUGGGGUAAAGGCCUACCAAGGCGACGAUGCAUAGCCGACCUGAGAGGGUGAUCGGCCACACUGGGACUGAGACACGGCCCAGACUCCUACGGGAGGCAGCAGUAGGGAAUCUUCCGCAAUGGGCGAAAGCCUGACGGAGCAACGCCGCGUGAGUGAAGAAGGAUUUCGGUCCGUAAAGCUCUGUUGUUAGGGAAGAAUGAUUGUGUAGUAACUAUACACAGUAGAGACGGUACCUAACCAGAAAGCCACGGCUAACUACGUG
rnacentral:rRNA from 1 species